ensembl:lncRNA
GUCCAUUCCCCAGCAAUACAGCAAUUCCUGUUCUAGAGCAGCUGGCUGAGGGUGCCCACUUGACAUAUUUCACAAGAACUGUUCAUUGUAAUACACACUCCCAGUGCACUUAGCAACUCCUCCCCCUUAAGUCUUCACAGCACAAAGGAAAAUAGGAAAAUACAUGCAUCAACAUCAAGGCCAAAGCUAGAGCUCAUUGCCCUGGGCUGUAAUACCACUAAUCGCUGCUGGAUGGCACCAAACUCUUUUGUAGUGGAUCACAGAAAGGCUUCGGUCAGCAGCAUGGAUGUCAGAAGCUGCCAUGCUAGAUUCCACUUACCCACGUCUUGAAAUUGUUCAGCAACUUCUAUCGCUUUCUGCGACUGCUCCC